rnacentral:rRNA from 1 species
AUGAUCGAGGCGGAGCUCAACCACCUUUGCCGUCGUGUUUGGGACUGGCAGGUGACCCUGACCUCGGACAGCUCCUUCACCGUGGUCUUCCCCGAUGCCCUCAGCCUGGGCCUCUGCACUCGUAGCGACGACAUCACCCUCUCCCUCAACAAGCUCGUCAUCAACAUCUCUGAGCCCUUGAUGGACCCUAAGGCAGUUGGCGUUCUGGACAUUGCUUGGAUCCUCAUAGCGGGCCUCCCCGACAUCACCCGCUCUAAGAAGGUGAUCCGCAGUAUGUCCAAGAUUUUGGGCAAGGGAGUGGUGGUGGAUGAGCUCUCCCUCCGCAAAGAGGAGGAGGUCUGUGUCAAGGUCAAGUGCCUUGACUCCUCCACUCUCCGUGCCACCGUUCGGGUUUUCCUCAACAACCAGGGAUUCGACCUCAAGAUCUACCCCGAGCCUCCCAACCACAUCGUACGCCCUCGCCACCUCGCUGAUGGCCACUUUGGUGGGGGCAGCGUGGACAACCGCGAUGACUCCCACUACCGUCGUCCGUGCCCUUCCCGCCACGAGGACCCGGAUGACGACGAUGAGCGCUCGGGCCGCAGCCGCUCCCCUCGCGAGACCCAUCCGACCCUCCUCCGGGGCGUGGGGGUGGGGGUGCGGGCCGGUCGCGCGGGUUGGCCACCUCCGUUGAGGCUGCCCCCGCUGCGCUGCCUGUCUCCUCCCCCUCCUCUUCGGCCGAGAUCAACGACAUCUCCAGCGUCAGCCUCCUCGUCCUCCCGGCAUCUUCGCUGCGUUCGCCCUGCUCUUCCCCCGCGGCCGUCCCGCCCCCUCCGUCCCCGGGGGUGCCGCCUCCGGAGCUGA